UACGGAGGAUGCGAGCGUUAUCCGGAUUUAUUGGGUUUAAAGGGUGCGUAGGCGGAAUAUCAAGUCAGCGGUAAAAAUUCGGGGCUCAACCCCGUCGUGCCGUUGAAACUGAUGUUCUUGAGUGGGCGAGAAGUAUGCGGAAUGCGUGGUGUAGCGGUGAAAUGCAUAGAUAUCACGCAGAACUCCGAUCGCGAAGGCAAGUGUCCGGGGUGCAACUGACGCUGAGGCUCGAAAGUGCGGGUAUCAAACAGG
rnacentral:rRNA from 1 species